AGAGUUUUGAUCAUGGCUCAGGAUGAACGCUAGCGGCAGGCCUAAUACAUGCAAGUCGUGGGGCAGCGAAGAGAGCUUGCUCUCUGUCGGCGACCGGCGUACGGGUGCGUAACACGUAUGCAACCUACCCUAAACUGAGGCAUAGCUUGACAACAAGAAUCAAUUCCUCAUAUUACCAAAGAAUCACAUGGUUUUUUGGUCAAAGCUUCGGCGGUUUAGGAUGGGCAUGCGUCUGAUUAGCUUGUUGGUGAGGUAAUGGCUCACCAAGGCAACGAUCAGUAGGGGAUCUGAGAGGAUGAACCCCCACACUGGUACUGAGACACGGACCAGACUUCUACGGAAGGCAGCAGUAAGGAAUAUUGGGCAAUGGGCGCAAGCCUGACCCAGCCAUGCCGCGUGCAGGAUGAAAGCCCUAUGGGUUGUAAACUGCUUUAGUUGGAGAGUAACGCUUGAUACGUGUAUCAAGUUUGAAAGUAUCCAAAAAAAUAAGCAUCGGCUAACUCCGUGCCAGCAGCCGCGGUAAUACGGGAGGAUGCAAGCGUUAUCCGGAUUUACUGGGUUUAAAGGGUGCGUAGGUGGUCUGAUAAGUCAGAGGUGAAAUACGGUGGGCUCAACCAUCGCCCUUGCCUUUGAUACUAUUAGAACUAGAUUACAUUGGAAGUAGGCGGAAUGUGCAGUGUAGCGGUGAAAAUGCUUAGAUAUUGCACGGAACACCAAUUGCGAAGGCAGCUUACUAUAAUGUUAAUGACACUGAGGCACGAAAGCGUGGGUAGCAAAUAGGAUUAGAUACCCUAGUAGUCCACGCUGUAAACGAUGAUCACUCGCUGUUGGCGAUAUACUGUCAGCAGCUUAGCGAAAGUGUUAAGUGAUCCACCUGGGGAGUACGCCGGCAACGGUGAAACUCAAAGGAAUUGACGGGGGCCCGCACAAGCGGAGGAGCAUGUGGUUUAAUUCGAUGAUACGCGAGGAACCUUACCUGGGCUUGAAAGUUAGUGACCGCUCCUGAAAGGGAGCUUUCUUAGGACACGAAACUAGGCGCUGCACGGCUGUCGUCAGCUCGUGCCGUGAGGUGUUGGGUUAAGUCCCGCAACGAGCGCAACCCCUAUCUUUAGUUACCAGCGUGUAAUGGCGGGAACUCUAGAGAGACUGCCUGCGUAAGCAGAGAGGAAGGAGGGGAUGACGUCAAGUCCGCAUGGCCCUUACGUCCAGGGCUACACACGUGCUACAAUGGUUGAUACAAUGGGUCGCGAUAUGGCAACAUGGAGCUAAUCUCAAAAAGUCAAUCUAAGUUCGGAUUGAAGGCUGCAACUCGCCUUCAUGAAGUUGGAUUCGCUAGUAAUCGCAUAUCAGCAAUGAUGCGGUGAAUACGUUCCCGGGCCUUGUACACACCGCCCGUCAAGCCAUGGAAGUCGGGAGCAUCUGAAGUCGAUAACCGAAA
rnacentral:rRNA from 1 species